rnacentral:rRNA from 1 species
AGCGUACACGGUGGAUGCCCUGGCAGUCAGAGGCGAUGAAGGACGUGCUAAUCUGCGAUAAGCGUCGGUAAGGUGAUAUGAACCGUUAUAACCGGCGAUUUCCGAAUGGGGAAACCCAGUGUGUUUCGACACACUAUCAUUAACUGAAUCCAUAGGUUAAUGAGGCGAACCGGGGGAACUGAAACAUCUAAGUACCCCGAGGAAAAGAAAUCAACCGAGAUUCCCCCAGUAGCGGCGAGCGAACGGGGAGCAGCCCAGAGCCUGAAUCAGUGUGUGUGUUAGUGGAAGCGUCUGGAAAGGCGCGCGAUACAGGGUGACAGCCCCGUACACAAAAAUGCACAUACUGUGAGCUCGAUGAGUAGGGCGGGACACGUGGUAUCCUGUCUGAAUAUGGGGGGACCAUCCUCCAAGGCUAAAUACUCCUGACUGACCGAUAGUGAACCAGUACCGUGAGGGAAAGGCGAAAAGAACCCCGGCGAGGGGAGUGAAAAAGAACCUGAAACCGUGUACGUACAAGCAGUGGGAGCCUCUUAAUGGGGUGACUGCGUACCUUUUGUAUAAUGGGUCAGCGACUUAUAUUCUGUAGCAAGGUUAACCGAAUAGGGGAGCCGAAGGGAAACCGAGUCUUAACUGGGCGUUAAGUUGCAGGGUAUAGACCCGAAACCCGGUGAUCUAGCCAUGGGCAGGUUGAAGGUUGGGUAACACUAACUGGAGGACCGAACCGACUAAUGUUGAAAAAUUAGCGGAUGACUUGUGGCUGGGGGUGAAAGGCCAAUCAAACCGGGAGAUAGCUGGUUCUCCCCGAAAGCUAUUUAGGUAGCGCCUCGUGAAUUCAUCUCCGGGGGUAGAGCACUGUUUCGGCAAGGGGGUCAUCCCGACUUACCAACCCGAUGCAAACUGCGAAUACCGGAGAAUGUUAUCACGGGAGACACACGGCGGGUGCUAACGUCCGUCGUGAAGAGGGAAACAACCCAGACCGCCAGCUAAGGUCCCAAAGUCAUGGUUAAGUGGGAAACGAUGUGGGAAGGCCCAGACAGCCAGGAUGUUGGCUUAGAAGCAGCCAUCAUUUAAAGAAAGCGUAAUAGCUCACUGGUCGAGUCGGCCUGCGCGGAAGAUGUAACGGGGCUAAACCAUGCACCGAAGCUGCGGCAGCGACACUAUGUGUUGUUGGGUAGGGGAGCGUUCUGUAAGCCUGUGAAGGUGUACUGUGAGGUAUGCUGGAGGUAUCAGAAGUGCGAAUGCUGACAUAAGUAACGAUAAAGCGGGUGAAAAGCCCGCUCGCCGGAAGACCAAGGGUUCCUGUCCAACGUUAAUCGGGGCAGGGUGAGUCGACCCCUAAGGCGAGGCCGAAAGGCGUAGUCGAUGGGAAACAGGUUAAUAUUCCUGUACUUGGUGUUACUGCGAAGGGGGGACGGAGAAGGCUAUGUUGGCCGGGCGACGGUUGUCCCGGUUUAAGCGUGUAGGCUGGUUUUCCAGGCAAAUCCGGAAAAUCAAGGCUGAGGCGUGAUGACGAGGCACUACGGUGCUGAAGCAACAAAUGCCCUGCUUCCAGGAAAAGCCUCUAAGCAUCAGGUAACAUCAAAUCGUACCCCAAACCGACACAGGUGGUCAGGUAGAGAAUACCAAGGCGCUUGAGAGAACUCGGGUGAAGGAACUAGGCAAAAUGGUGCCGUAACUUCGGGAGAAGGCACGCUGAUAUGUAGGUGAAGUCCCUUGCGGAUGGAGCUGAAAUCAGUCGAAGAUACCAGCUGGCUGCAACUGUUUAUUAAAAACACAGCACUGUGCAAACACGAAAGUGGACGUAUACGGUGUGACGCCUGCCCGGUGCCGGAAGGUUAAUUGAUGGGGUUAGCGGUAACGCGAAGCUCUUGAUCGAAGCCCCGGUAAACGGCGGCCGUAACUAUAACGGUCCUAAGGUAGCGAAAUUCCUUGUCGGGUAAGUUCCGACCUGCACGAAUGGCGUAAUGAUGGCCAGGCUGUCUCCACCCGAGACUCAGUGAAAUUGAACUCGCUGUGAAGAUGCAGUGUACCCGCGGCAAGACGGAAAGACCCCGUGAACCUUUACUAUAGCUUGACACUGAACAUUGAGCCUUGAUGUGUAGGAUAGGUGGGAGGCUUUGAAGUGUGGACGCCAGUCUGCAUGGAGCCGACCUUGAAAUACCACCCUUUAAUGUUUGAUGUUCUAACGUUGGCCCCUGAUCGGGGUUGCGGACAGUGUCUGGUGGGUAGUUUGACUGGGGCGGUCUCCUCCUAAAGAGUAACGGAGGAGCACGAAGGUUGGCUAAUCCUGGUCGGACAUCAGGAGGUUAGUGCAAUGGCAUAAGCCAGCUUGACUGCGAGCGUGACGGCGCGAGCAGGUGCGAAAGCAGGUCAUAGUGAUCCGGUGGUUCUGAAUGGAAGGGCCAUCGCUCAACGGAUAAAAGGUACUCCGGGGAUAACAGGCUGAUACCGCCCAAGAGUUCAUAUCGACGGCGGGGUUUGGCACCUCGAUGUCGGCUCAUCACAUCCUGGGGCUGAAGUAGGUCCCAAGGGUAUGGCUGUUCGCCAUUUAAAGUGGUACGCGAGCUGGGUUUAGAACGUCGUGAGACAGUUCGGUCCCUAUCUGCCGUGGGCGCUGGAGAACUGAGGGGGGCUGCUCCUAGUACGAGAGGACCGGAGUGGACGCAUCACUGGUGUUCGGGUUGUCAUGCCAAUGGCACUGCCCGGUAGCUAAAUGCGGAAGAGAUAAGUGCUGAAAGCAUCUAAGCACGAAACUUGCCCCGAGAUGAGUUCUCCCUGACUCCUUGA